AGUAAUGUCUGGGAAACUGCCUGAUGGAGGGGGAUAACUGCUGGAAACGGCAGCUAAUACCGCAUAACGUCGCAAGACCAAAGAGGGGGACCUUCGGGCCUCUUGCCAUCGGAUGUGCCCAGAUGGGAUUAGCUAGUAGGUGGGGUAACGGCUCACCUAGGCGACGAUCCCUAGCUGGUCUGAGAGGAUGGCCAGCCACACUGGAACUGAGACACGGUCCAG
rnacentral:rRNA from 1 species